AUCACCGCAAAUAGUUACAAAUUCCUUUUUUUUCCCUUGUGAUGAGAACUUUUAACAUCUGCUCUCUUAGCAACUUUCAAAAAUACAAUACAGGGCAGAGGAUCUUAAUAGACAUUUUCCCAAAGAAGACAUACAGAUGGCCAAUAGGCACACGAGAAGAUGCUCAACAUCACUAAUCAUCAAGAAAAGAAGUCAAAACCACAAUGAGGUAUCACCUCAUAUAUGUUAGAAUAGCUAUAGUCAAAAAGACAAGGGAUAAGUGUUGGUGAGGAUGUGGAGAAAAGAGAACCCUUGUGCACCGUUGCUGGGAAUGUAAAUUGGCGCAGCCACUAUGGAAUAUAGUAUGCAGGUUUCUCAAAAAAUUAAAAAUAGAACUACUUACCAUAUGACCCAGCCAUCCCACUGCUGGGUAUUUAUCCGAAGAAAAUGAAAUCACUAUCCCAAAGAGAUAUCUGCACCCCCGUGUUCACUGCAGCAUAAUUUACAAUGGCGAAGACACAGAAGCAACCUAGAGGUCCAUCAACGGAUGAAUGGUGUUCAACAGAGAACAUUUCCUGACAGAGACUUGAGUGAAGGGGCCAGCUCCCCCAGUGCAGUGCUGGUAGUUGGGCUGGCUCAGAAAGACCAAUGUCCUGAGGCUGUUCUCCAGGGGGCCGGCUAGAGGAACAGGCAGUGAUGGUCUCCCAGGGAUGAAUUCUAGAUGCCUCACAGCUGCUGGGAGGAACAAUGCGGCAUGGUCAGGUUGCUAUGGCCUCAGGUGUUAGUGGAGGGAAGAUUGGGGCCCCUGGGAUCCUCACCGGAAGGCCAAGUUGCUGCCCUGGAAUCUUUGGCUUCGGGAACGCUGGAGAUUUGAGGCCCGGGCAUGCACAGUGCCUCCCCCUGUUCUGGCCAGGUGGGCUCGCCCCUGCACAGCUUGUGGAUCAGAGCCUGGGGCGAGAAGCUCCCCCACUGUGACUGUAAGUGGGGCAGGCGAGGCGUUGACAGGAUUGGGGUUUGCUUGAUAGGUAGCAUGAGCCAGACUCUUUAUGGACGAGUCUGAGAUGAGCGACCACCGGCACCUGGAGCACCAGGUGUUUCUCAUUCCAGGACUCCAGUCCCACCCCCGCAGAACUCCAGCUACAUCGAGCUUCCUCUGGGUAGAGUGGACACGCAGCAGCGCUUCGGGCCUGAUUUUGCCUUCUCUGAGCUGUCCCUGACUCUCAGGGCAUCCCGACCCAUCUGCUCCCUGCCCCUCCAUCAAGACCUGCUCUUACUCCCUGCACAUACCAGAAGUCAUGUAGUGGGGGGACAACACAACCAACUUUUUUAAGUCUCAAAAGGAUGUCAAUUGAAACCUGUUAUAGACGAAAUGCACUUCCUAGAAGUCAAUUGGCCAACAUGCAGAGCUGGAGAGAACAGAUUGUGAAAAUAGGAGGCCCUAAAGAUUACAGUGAGGCAGAAUCAAGGAAAGAAGGAGAAAGCCCCAGAAUCAUGGGUGCAGACUUGUAGCAUUGGAUCAGAGAUUCUGACUUUGCCAUACUGAGAGAUUGCCAUCAGCCAAACUAGAGGAAAACAAAGCUGGACUUCCGCACUCUCAUUUCUUAGUGCUUCUCCUCAACAUCCGGGAACCUCGGCACGUCUGCAGUUGAUUUUGAAAAUUGCACUAAGUAAGAUGAAAUUUCUUGUAACCCAGAGCAGCAAAGAAGAUAUUCUGCAGCAACUAGGGGGAAAGAGUGGUUCCUUAAGUCAAUGCACAUGGGAGCCUGCUGUCCAGAGACCGGGCUGUCUUCAGGCGAUGCAGGACAGUUUUCCCGUCUCUAUUAGUCUGCUGGGGCUGUCCUAACAAAAUGCCACAGACUUGGUAGAUUAAACAGCCAUUAAAAAAAAAGAGGGGCCAGCCCUGUGGUGCAGCGGUUAAGUUUGCAGGUUUCCCUUUGGCAGCCCGGGGUUCACCGGUUCAGACCCCAGUUUUAUUAGGACACAACUGUAGCCAUUUGUUUACUACUAUCUAUGGCUCUUUGACGCUGCACAGCUGAGUGAAAAGAUGUGGAAAAGAUUACCAGACCUGCAUCUGUCUUCAGAGCUGAGCUGUCACUGCUAUCAUCAUCCACCACAUCAAACAGAGAAACUGCCACCUUUAGCCAUCUAGACUCGCCCAGGAGGUGUCUGAACUGGACAUAGGCCUUGGACAACAAUUCAGACAGCUCACCGCUCCUCUGAAGGGGCCAGCUUUCAUCUUCAUUGAAAGCCGAAUGAAGGAAGCCCAUUCCUUCUUCAUUCCCAGAGACCAUUUCUACUCCUGCCAGAUGUCUGCCAGGGCCCUGAAGUACCUAACAGCCCAAUCCAGUCAUUUCACCUUUGAAUCAGUUAUUGUGGCCCAGAUUCCAGAUCUCUUCUGAAUUUGCAGCAUCUUCUCAGUUACAGGCCUGCUGGUCAUCAAAAUAACUCCUACACUCUGCUCAACUCCUCAGUACUACCUGGACAAAAGUCUACUUCUUAUUUUCAAUAAAUGUCAGACGCUGUUAAAAAAGAGUAGUUGACUAGUUACAGGCGACACCGUAUGACCCAUAAAGGCUGAAAUAUUUGCUAUCUGACCAUUUACAGAAAAAGUUUCCUAAUCCCUGAUCUAGGGAAAGAUUAGCAUGAAAUGCAGUUGGAGUGGUAGGUGCCUGCUAUUAAGACAGAAAUCUCUCCGAGUGCUCAAAGCAAUCAUUAUUUCAGGGCUCCAAUUCGACUACCCAUAAUUAUAGAAUGAUAGAAGCAGAAGUACCUCAAGAGACA
ensembl:lncRNA